GUGCUUGCUUCAGUAGCACAUACACUAACAUUGGAAUGAUACAGAGAUUAGCACGGCCCUGCACAAGGAUGACACACGAAUUCAUCUACCCCUUCUGU
ensembl:snRNA U6 U6 spliceosomal RNA